rnacentral:misc_RNA from 1 species
UUCCGUUAUUUACGGUCCUAUGCGACAAGUUAAGGUAUCUCGACCCAACCCUUUAUUGAGGGCAGGUCUUGCUUCUAAGUUUGUGAUGAAUCGUAUUAAGACACAACUUAUUUCUUAUAUAAAUAUUUCAAUCCACUCUAAGUAUUUAUAAAAAAUAUAUAUAUAUAACAACAAAUUUGCUCAAGGAGCUUUAUAGUUGGCAAAAGUUUGAAAAUAUAAAUCAUUAUUUCACUCAGAUCGACAUUAUAUUCACACGGCUGGGAAAAAAAAAAGAUGCAUAAAUUGUGUUAUUAGAAAACAUGGCAUGAAUUGAAGAUUGUGUCUUCAAGAAAAUAUAAGAAGAAAAGAAUUUUGAUUACAAGUUUAUAUCGAAUUAUCAUCUAAAAGGCAGAAAAAAUAUCAUCAAAAAGACAGAAAACAAAACCUCUAAGAAAAACAUGUGCAAAGAAUAUCAAAAAAUAUAAAUUUUUGAGGAUUUACAACUCUAUCUUUCAUGGAAUUUCAUUCAUAAUUUAAAUAAAUAUUUUUAAAACCAGAAGAUUUUGACAAUUAAAACACUGAAAUUUGUUUUAAAAAAUCUACAUGAAAUAAAAUUUUUGACAGAAAAUUUCCAAAACUGAUUGUGGACAAAAAUCAUUUACCUUUGUGUUGAAAAAUCUUAAAAAUUUGCUGCUGCUUAGAUAUCUUCUAUAUAAAACUUAGUGUAUUUACUGUGCAACUGAAACACUACUGAUGCAUCUAUUAGAAAUUGCAUUGGAUUUUCCCAAUAUGACUUUAUCAUUAAGAAUAGAACCAUGCACAAAAUAGUUGAAUAUUUACCUAAAUUCAAAUUGUCAGUUCAUCUCCAUCAUCAGGUAACUUCUGGAAAAUCCUGUCAGCAAAUAUUGUUACAAGAAACAGUUAUCUUGUUAUUCCAGUUGAGUUUUGAAUCAAAGAGAAAUGGUUGGAAUUUAACUUCUCUCUACUUGGUCAUUGCUUUUGAAAACAAGUUAGCAAUAAUUCCUCUGCUAAAAAAUGCAGACAAGUUGCACAGUACCAGGGUAUCAAUUCAGUUUGUGAUAUUUUUCAUUGCGAAUAAACCAAAUUCAGAGCAUUUAUUUUUUAUAUCUUAUCCUGUCCAUGAACUUGUAACUGACAUUUCAAUAAGUAGUCACAGCAACAAAAUGUCCACAGAUAAACAUUCUUCUCUUAAAUCAAGAAAAUCCAUCAAAAAGCAUCGCUGUGAGUUCUGCAACAAAGAAUUCAUGAGCAGUUCUGCGUUGGUUAUUCAUAGACGCUCACACACCGGCUUGCGUCCUUACAAAUGUCCAUUCUGCAGUCGAGCAUUCUCUCAAAUGACUGGAAUCCAGCAUCAUAUUCGUACUCACACCGGGGAGAGGCCAUACGUUUGCAACAUCUGCCAUUUUAAAUUUUCUCGCUCAGAUUCUUUAGCCAGACAUAUAAAGAAGCGGCAUUCAAGCGUUCAAAAUGGAUUGGUAAAGAGAAAAAAGAAGACUUCAGAAAUAUCAAAGAAGCAGCUACUGCUUAGCUAUUAUAAUAAUUCCCACUCAGAUCCUACUACUUCUCAGCUAACAGACUCUAGUUUUAUACUCAAUGGUUUUCUUGAUGCACCCACAGAAUUUCAGUCUUCAAAUUUAGGAAUUAAUUCAGAUGUACAUAUUACUGAUGAUUCUUCUAAAAAUUCACGUCUUAAGUUUCCAGAUGAAAUGCAUUCUCAUAAUAAAGUAACUGAUUCUUUCAUCAGAGAUAAAAGAUAUACACAUUCUAGAAUACAAUCUCCAAGAUUGAGAACUAAAUCCAUGGAUAAAAAAUAUUCGUUUUCAAAUUGUAAUUUACCUGAAUUCAGGUAUUCUGAAGCAGCACACCAAAGAAUUUCAGUUCCUCAAAAUGAAAUAUCUGAAAAUUCUAGGAAAAAUUAUAAAAGAACUGAAGAGACAUCUUUGCUGCAGUCUAAAGUGAAUAAAAGAUGUAAUUAUAACCCAAAUAUAAGUUAUACUAAUAAUUUGGACAAUAUACACUUUAAAAAUGUCAGUGAUAUAAGUAUUUCCUCAGAACUAGAAUCUAAGCUUCACAAUAAACUAGAUAAUUACCAACAUGCCAACAGAAGAAAUCUUGAUACAAAGAGUGGUGGUAAAUAUCACAAGUGUUUCUUCUGUUUCAAGUGUUUUGCGAGUAAGUCUGCAUUGAACAUUCAUAAAAGAAUUCAUACUGGCAUUCGUCCCUAUGUCUGCAAAAUGUGUGGUCGUUCAUUUACCCAAAAAACUGGUUUGCGGCACCAUUAUAGGACUCACACACAAGAAAGACCUUACAAAUGUAGCAUUUGCUUCUAUGCAUUCGCUAGAUCUGAUUCUCUUUUGCGGCACACAAAACUUCGACACAAGAAGCUGAAGAAAAAAGCCCCUGUUUAUAACAAGCAAUUAAGAAAACCACCUGAAUGCUAUCCUAAUUCAGAGCAUUUUUUUGAAAAAUCUGGUAGUUUUAAGCAAGUGGUACUUCAAAAUGAAAGCAAUAAUUUAUUUGAAAAUGAUCGUCUGGUUGCAAAAAAUGUUAAUGAUCUUGACAUUCAUGAAUAUUCUAUUAGAAAUAAUAACAAUUCCAACCAUGUUUCAGUUGUUGAUUCCACUCUGUUACUCGAUCCAUUAAUAACAGUUUCUGAUGAAAUCAAUUAUGGUAGGCAUCACGUACAGUCUACAGACUUUAGCAACAGUAAUUUGAGUUCUGGGGUAGUAUUGAAUAUCGAGAGACCUGAAAUCACUCACACAAAUUCUCCUAUCUACAUAACUGAUGAUGAAGAAGAAUUUGAUGUCAUUUCAUUCCCAGAAAAAAAUGAAGAUGUACCUGCUGUUAAAUCCUGCUUGAAGCCCUCCACCAAUUCUAAAAAUACCACAGGAAAAUAUGGGAAAAAACGAAACCUUCCUUGUAAUUUCUGUCACAAGACUUUCUCUAGUUUCUCGGUGCUGAAAGUUCAUAGAAGAAUCCACACUGGUGUUAGACCUUAUCGGUGUAAGUUUUGUGGCCGUUCCUUUACUCAACAGACUGGUCUUACCCACCAUCUGCGUACUCACACUGGAGAAAAACCCUACUCUUGUGGAAACUGUAAUGCCCAAUUUUCCAGAUCCGAUUCCUUGGCUCGUCACUGGAAACAGCAGCAUUUAAAACACUCUAACACAAAAGGUAAUCAUUUGAAACAGAUAAAUAGAACUAAGAAAGAUCAUGUUAGUUCAAGCAGCACUGAUGAAAAUUUAAGCAUUUCAGCAAAGGAUGUCAGGCUUUCUGAAUCUGAAACAAAUAAUGUACAAGAAAUAAGUGACAAUACUUCAAGUUUAGAUCAGGUAAAUUUUGCAUCAGUCGUUAUAAAAUCUGAAGUUUCUAACGAUGAACCUGUUCCUGCUGUUAUCUGUGAUACUUCUUCUAAAGAGGAUGCUGGCACUGCUGAUAAACUGGGAACUGAUGAUCUCAGUCCAACAUGGAAAAGUGGCAGUAGUUAUAGAGAUGAUGGAAAUUUCAGCAAUAUUGAAAUUGAAACCUUUGAACCAGUUCGAAAUGCAUUUAGUCCUUCCAAUGAACCAAACCUACAGUUGAAAUGUUCUUCAUGCAAAAAAGUGUUUAACGACAAAACUCUGUUAUCUUCUCAUGUGUGUGAGGUAAAUACAGAAUAUCAAUGUUUUCUUUGUGAUAUGAACUUUAACAAUACCAUAUUACUGGCUGAACAUAUGAGUGAGCAGCAUAAUUUGAAACAAAACUGUAAAAGAGAAGGUGAGCUGUCACAAUUUUCCUUCGAGGAUGAAUUUGGUUCUCUUGUAGAAAUGGUAAUCACCCAUAAUAAUGACAGAGAUGUUUGUCGUAUUUAUCUUAGUGACUUUUCUGAAAAUACCCAAACCAUAGAAAUGAACAUGGAUGAGAAAAUCAAUCAAAACCUUUCUGAUAUUUGGGAAUCUACAGAGAAUAGAAAACUUGAAGUUACUCAAAACUCUCCAGAUGAUUUUGAUUCUAAAGCCAACAUUUUCUGCCAAUCUAAUUACAAUGCAGGCACUAUAAAUAACCACAAGGACAGUUCUGAAGAUAUUUUGCAAAUUAAACUUGAGCAGGAUCAACAGGAAAUAUCAGAUAUCGUCAGCCAGAACAAUAGUAGCUUUGAGUCUUUCUGCUUGACUAACCAGGAGCAAGAAUUUCGCAAUGUCUUUGAACCAAAUACUAACCCUCUUGGUACACAGACAAAUGGAAUUAAUUCUGAGGUUUCUAAUUUUGUAGAUAAUAGCAGCGAUGCUGGUAUAUCCAUACCAUUGUUGGAUCUGAACCAGUGUAAGACAGAAGAUAACGACAGCAACACUGCUCCAUUAAACAAAGAUUCUAAGCAAACUAGAAACAAACAGCGCCAAUGUGAAUUCUGUAAGAAAUCAUUUAAUAGCAAAUGGGCUUUGAUUAUUCACCGCAGAUCCCAUACUGGUGAAAAGCCAUACGAAUGUGGGCACUGUGGCCGUGGUUUCAGUCAGUUAUCUGGUGUUCAACAUCAUAUUCUCACACAUACUGGUGAGAGACCAUUCGAGUGUCAAAUUUGUCAUUUCAGAUUCGCUCGAUCUGAUUCAUUGGUUCGACAUACCAGGUUAAAACAUUCAGAAUGUGCAAGAGAAAAUGGUUCGAAAGAGGAGCCCAAGAAAGCUUCAACCCUCUCCAAUAACCAAAGUUUAGUAAGGGACUUAAGGAAUGCAUAUAGUACAGAUAUGUUAGACAUGGAGACAGAUAUGCAAAACGAUUGUACAAUGAUUGAACCAAUGUUACAAGAUAAAAACUUGAUUAACUUAUCAGAAUAUCCUUUGCUUCUUUCAUCUCAAGUGAAGGAACCUGACUCAAAGAAAAAUUCUGAGGAUCAUAUUACUUUGAAAGAUAUCCACAAGGAAGUUGAUUUCGAUAAGGAUAUUAAAAAUUGCAACAUGUUAGACUUGUCUUUGCCUCCUUCGAAAGAUAUUUCUACCAAGCAGAUAAAAACUUUUGAUUGUAAAUUUUGUGGGAGUCUGUUUCCAAAUUCUGAUGUUUUAUUGCAACAUCUAAUGUUAAGUCAUAGCAAUGAAAUUAUUUUAAAUGAUAUUAAAACAGAUAUCUUGCUAAAAUCUGGGCCUGAGCAAAAUAAGAAUUCAUCUCAAGAUUCCCUUAGUAUUUCUGAGUCCAAAGAAGCUUUAACAUUUCAGUCUAGUAAUGUUUCAUCAUUCCCUGAAAAUUGUCUGCAAAGGGAUAGCAUUUUGCAUCUUUUAAAAGAGUAUGAUCUUGGUAUGGUGACAGAAGAUAAUUCAACUUUGAAUAGAGAUGAAAGCAACCCUAAUUUCAAUGUUGAUCUCAAAUAUAUAGAAAAUGUUGAAACUAUUCCUUUAGACAGGUUAGAGCAAAAUGGAGAUGGUCAAGAAAUGGACCGAAGUCAAAAUUCUUUUCAAAAUAUCAUAGAUAUUACAGAAACGGACUUUGAUUUGAAAGAAACAAGUGUUGAUGAAAUCAUAGAGAAAGAUCUUAGCACUAGUGAAGAAAGAAAUCUCAAAGAUGUAGAUGUUGGCAAUGUUGAAGAUAAUAACAACAACAAUAAUGAUGAUGAUGAUGAUGAUGAUGUUAUAUGCAUCACACCUGAGAAUUUCCCUUCAAGUUUUCAGAUGAAUUCUUUGAAGGGUUUUGCUGAAGAUUUUCAUGUAACUGAAGAGAAAAGUUAUGAAGCCUCUUACAUAUCUCUCACAGAUAAUGACAACAUGAGUGCAAGGGAAAUAACGGAACAGUCUAACCGAAGCAAUUCUUGUAGGUUUUGUGGCAAAAGUUUUCCUACUCAGUCGGCAUUAAAAGUGCACCAACGCACACAUACCGGCCUGCGUCCAUAUAAGUGUCCAACCUGUGACAGAGCAUUCACACAGAAAGUCGGACUCCAGCAUCACGUCCGAACUCAUACAGGAGAGCGGCCAUAUCAGUGUAAAUACUGCAUUCAGAAGUUUGCUCGGUCAGAUUCUUUGGGUCGGCACAUAAGACACAAGCAUUUAAAAACAGCCAAGGAUUUGAAUUCUGUGAGUAACUAUCAGAAAAGCCUUGUAUCUCCUUUGUCCUUAGAAUCAGAUGCAAACCAAGAAGCAGCUAGAAAAAGGGAGAUGAAUGGAGGAAAUUCCAAUCAACUGGAAUCGAAUUUCAUUGAGUCACCGGAACAUUCUUCUAGUAAAAAUCCUAAUCAAACGGAUUUUGUAAUGAUGACUCCAAAUUCAUUUGGAGAUUUAUUUGUAUUGGAGCCAUCAGACAACCAUGUUAAGAAUAAUCUGAAUGAAUGCUUCCAAGAAUACAUUAGUUACUCUCGAUUGAAUGAUGAUAAUCACAUUGAUAGGAAGACUAUGUGUGACCAAAUUGAAGAAAGAAUGCAGAAUAGUUCUUAUUCUAUUCCUAAUACUAGCCUACUACAGUCUUCUGGUAACACACCAGGCAAGUCAUCUGACACAAUUGUUUUGGAAGAGAUGGCAAUAAAUAUAAGUGAUUCUGAAUGUAAUUCACCUGAACAAAAUACAACAAUAAAAUAUGAAAAUGAUCUUACCUGUGAUAUUUGCUGCAAAGAAUUCUCUAAUUCACACCUGUUAAUAAAGCACCUAAAAGAUCAUAUAAAUGCUAGCAAAGAAACUGCAACCAAUCCAGAUAAAACCAUCUCUGGUCCUGUUCCUACUUGUUAUCUUAUAGACCUCAGUGAUGAGAGCUUAGAACAAAAAACACAAAGUGAAUUAGACAUUGAUCUAAUGGAAUCUGAUUUACUCUCAAAUAUAACCAAAGAAAAAUGCAUGGAAAACAAGAAUGUAACUGAAAUACAAGAAUUCAAUUCAAGAACUGAUCCAAAAAUAGCCCCCUCUUCAUUGACGAACCUGAUAGAUGAUGAUAGUCAAACCCAGAUUGGUAUUGAGAAAAAUGCUGAUAAUUACCAGUUGGUUACAGAAACAGAAGACACUAACACAACAACCAGUGUUCUUUCUAAUAUGAUUUCCCCAAAUCUCCUGCCCCACCACACUAAUGUGGUCUCGACGGGUACACGAGGCAAUAUUACUUGCAGUAAAACCAAUAACAACUCUCUUUUAAUCAUCAAAGACGGUACUAGAUUUAAACUCGGUCACAAAAGGCACAUUUGUAAGUACUGCAGUAAAAGUUUUGCUAGUUCUUCCGCCCUUGUGAUUCACACUCGGACACACACUGGUGAAAGGCCUUAUGAAUGUGAUUAUUGUUCACGAGCCUUCAGCCAGGUCACUGGUCUUCGUCACCAUAUCAGAACACAUACGGGGUAUAAGCCAUACAGCUGUCACUUCUGUUAUUACCGAUUUGCAAGAUCAGAUUCUUUAGCCAGGCACUUAAAACUGGAACACCAAAAGAGAAACAAAGAUUCCUCUUCAGGAACAGAUGUCAAUGCUAUACAAUAACAGAACUCUUUAUUUUAUAUUUGUAUAUAUUUAUUUAUUGGUAUGGGGGAAAUUUUGUUCCACAGUUUCAUUAUUUCUAGAAUGCGUGUGUGUGUGUAUGUGAAUGUACAUGCAUGUGUGUAUGUGCACAGAUAAAUAGUGUGUGUGUGUGUGUGUGAAUGUU